rnacentral:lncRNA from 1 species
AUGCUACCAAGUAUAUGGUUGAGCUCGUCCUACAAAUUCACAAGACCGACACUCCGACAGCUGAAAAUUUCACUAAGAAAUGACUGCACAGACCUACUUCGUUUGGAGGGCAUAAAAACUGGCCAAGUGAAAGCGACGAACUGAAACAUUCGAGUACGCAUCGCAAACGAAAUCGUUGACAGCUUGACGUAUUUCCGUACAGGUGUUCUGGAACCCCAUCACACUGCCAUAGGUCAAAAUUUAGUAGUCGGUCAUUACGCCCUAACGCUUAGGGUGCGUUAAAGCGACCGGUGCCCGCUCCUGCCACAUUAACUUGAAGCUUUCCAGGUGCGGCGGAUCGUAGGCAUUUUCGUAGCUGCUCCAAUUUUUCAGACCAGCCCUUCACUGCUUCCGUGCAACGCUGAGCCUCCGCUGCACUUUGCGCCAGCCAUUGCUCUACGAGAAAAAAGUUGUUGGCGUAGAGUUUUGAUUAAAACACGGACUGUCCACCAUAAUUUACAGAAGAAGCAAUCAGGAGUAGAAUUCUGAGCAUGGCCUAAACAUGCACUUCUAAACCCAAACCCAGCUUACUGACAAACAAAUUGCCCUUGAUACCUGAUCCCUUGAUCUCACCGCUGCUGCAAACCUGAACGCCACAGGUGCGAUAUAAGACCCCCGGCUCCCUGCCCGCAAAUCCGCACGUGGAGCAUGUAGGUGUGCGUAUAUUUGUGCAUCCCUUACAAGCAGGGCUUUGCCCUUUUACCCUCGCUCCUUUUGCGAAGCAAGUUCAGAAGCGGAGCUUGGCUCGUUAAGCACGUACACGAGCACAGUCACCCACCAUGCUGCCAUGAUCCCAACUAAGUCGCAUGGAAAAUGUGCAGGACCCAAAGAUGCUCACCGGAAGUCUCCUCCCACAUGUCCAUCCAGACGAUAUCAGGGUAAGCGGGAUAGCGCAUGGAGACCUGUAUGAUGUGUGAAACAGGGGGGUAUAUCUUCACCCGUGGCAGCUACCCUCCGAAACCCUGCCUUCCCGGGUAUUUCGGGGCACCCUUACUUAGUCACCCUAGACAACUUCUCAGUGGAUUACUCAGGUUCCGCACCCACCACCAGUAUCCAACGGAAUCUGCCGGAUCGACAGCGGCCCAACUCCAUUCCUGGUCGGCUCGCAGGCUAACUUUAUCCCAGGUCACCUCCGUCCCUCAAGUAGGGGCGAAAUACCUUCCACCAUCGGAAGGAUUUUCGACCCUGACAGGUCUCGAUCCCGGGAUCUCCCGGGGGAAAUGGUUGCGCGUUACCAGUAGUGCCUAACCCUCGUAUGUAUGAAAUAUGAGUUCACACGGUUCACACGGUUCCGUCAGCAUCUUGUCAAGUGCCAGGUGACCCGUGGCCAUGAGGGUUUGUGGGGCGUUAUGCAGCUGGCGGAAGA